UACGUAGGGGGCAAGCGUUGUCCGGAUUCAUUGGGCGUAAAGAGCGUGUAGGCGGCCAGGUAGGUCGGUUGUGAAAACUGGAGGCUCAACCUUCAGAGGUCGACCGAAACCAUCUGGCUAGAGUCCGGGAGAGGAGAGUGGAAUUCCUGGUGUAGCGGUGAAAUGCGCAGAUAUCAGGAGGAACACCGGUGGCGAAGGCGGUUCUCUGGGCAUUGCCUGACGCUGAGGAGCGAAAGUGUGGGGAGCGAACAGG
rnacentral:rRNA from 1 species